CUACGGGACGCACCAGUGGGGAAUAUUGGACAAUGGGGGAAACCCUGAUCCAGCAAUGCCGCGUGUGUGAAGAAGGCCUGCGGGUUGUAAAGCACUUUCGGUUGGGAGGACUGCUUCUAGCACUAAUAUUGUUGGAAGUUGACGUUACCUUCAGAAGAAGCACCGGCUAACUCCGUGCCAGCAGCCGCGGUAAUACGGAGGGUGCAAGCGUUAAUCGGAAUUACUGGGCGUAAAGCGCGCGUAGGCGGCUAGAUCAGUCGGGUGUGAAAGCCCCGGGCUUAACCUGGGAACUGCAUCCGAUACUGUCUAGCUUGAGUACAGGAGAGGAGAGUGGAAUUCCACAUGUAGCGGUGAAAUGCGUAGAUAUGUGGCGGAACACCACUGGCGAAGCCAGAUCUCUGGCCUGAUACUGACGCUGAGGUGUGAAAGCGUGGGGAGCAAACAGGAUUAGAUACCCCGGUAGUC
rnacentral:rRNA from 1 species